UACGUAGGGGGCAAGCGUUGUCCGGAAUUAUUGGGCGUAAAGAGCGUGUAGGCGGUCCGGUAAGUCAGCUGUGAAAGUCAAGGGCUCAACCCUUGAAAGCCGGUUGAUACUGUCGGGCUAGAGUCCGGAAGAGGCGAGUGGAAUUCCCGGUGUAGCGGUGAAAUGCGCAGAUAUCGGGAGGAACACCAAUGGCGAAGGCAGCUCGCUGGGACGGUACUGACACUGAGGCACGAAAGCGUGGGGAGCAAACAGG
rnacentral:rRNA from 1 species